rnacentral:rRNA from 1 species
AAUGAACGCUGGCGGCAGGCCUAACACAUGCAAGUCGAGCGGCAGCGGGAAAGUAGCUUGCUACUUUUGCCGGCGAGCGGCGGACGGGUGAGUAAUGCCUGGGAAAUUGCCCAGUCGAGGGGGAUAACAGUUGGAAACGACUGCUAAUACCGCAUACGCCCUACGGGGGAAAGCAGGGGACCUUCGGGCCUUGCGCGAUUGGAUAUGCCCAGGUGGGAUUGGCUAGUUGGUGAGGUAAUGGCUCACCAAGGCGACGAUCCCGAGCUGGUCGGGAAGAGUGAGCAGCCCCCCUGGAACUGAGACACGGUCCAGACUCCUACGGGAGGCAGCAUGGGGCAAUAUUGCACAAUGGGGGAAACCCUGAUGCAGCCAUGCCGCGUGUGUGAAGAAGGCCUUCGGGUUGUAAAGCACUUUCAGCGAGGAGGAAAGGUCAGUAGCUAAUAUCUGCUGACUGUGACGUUACUCGCAGAAGAAGCACCGGCUAACUCCGUGCCAGCCGCCGCGGUAAGAC